AAAACAGAUCCCGAUCCCCUUCCUCGACUCUUCUUCUUCUCUGUUUCCUCUGCCCGAUCCCGAUCCCUUCCUCUCGUUCUCUCUUGCGGAAGACUCGACGGCGAGGUUGGAGGAGCACGUCACCGGAGCUCGACGGGAACCAACGGGCUUCAGGUCAUCUUCGGCCGAGGGGUUGUUGUUCGGUGGAUUCGGCGGCCGGACGUCGACGGCACGGUACCUAGGGCACGACAGAGGCUUGAUUCGCGUCGUCUCCCAACCGAUCGACCUCCCCUUAGCUCUCAUCGUGCUGCUCACAGUGCGAUCCAUCUCGGAUUGGAUCGGGCGACGCCACCGAGGAGCGAUCUUGGAGAGCCAUCAUCGGAGAGAAAUCUUGGCCGCCGGCUACAAAUUCUUGGCCGUGAUCACCAAGUGCUCAUUGGGAGCGAAACCGAAUAUCUGAUUUCCAUCUCUGUGGUUUGUUGAUCAGGCGGCGUCGAUCACUGGCAGCUGCCACAGAUUCACUGCUUGAUCGGAACAGUGGAGUGGGUUUCAGCACAGUUCUGCUGUGAUGCUGGAAUUGUGAUUGUGAGGUGAAUUCCAGCAGUAUUCCUUGAUCCAGCAAUCAACAGGGGCUGUGAAUUGAGGACUUUGAUUCGAGACAGGCGUCUCGACGUUGGAUUUGGCGUGAUACUACCUGCUAUUCGA